GAUGAAGAACGCAGCAAAAUGCGAUAAGUAAUGUGAAUUGCAGAAUUCAGUGAAUCAUCGAAUCUUUGAACGCACAUUGCGCCCGCUGGUAUUCCGGCGGGCAUACCUGUUCGAGCGUCAUUUCAACCCUCAAGCCCCCGGGUUUGGUGUUGGGGAUCGGCUCUGCCCUUCUGGGCGGUGCCGCCCCCGAAAUACAUUGGCGGUCUCGCUGCAGCCUCCAUUGCGUAGUAGCUAACACCUCGCAACUGGAACGCGGCGCGGCCAUGCCGUAAAACCCCAACUUCUGAAUGUUGACCUCGGAUCAGGUAGGAAUACCCGCUGAACUUAAGCAUAUCAAUAAGCGGAGGA
rnacentral:misc_RNA from 1 species